UACAGAGGUCUCAAGCGUUGUUCGGAUUCAUUGGGCGUAAAGGGUGCGUAGGCGGCGCGGUAAGUCGGGUGUGAAAUCUUGGAGCUUAACUCCGAAACUGCAUUCGAUACUGGAGAGCUCGAGUCCGGAAGAGGUGAGUGGAACUCCGAGUGUAGAGGUGAAAUUCGUAGAUAUUCGGAAGAACACCAGUGGCGAAGGCGGCUCACUGGUCCGGUACUGACGCUGAUGUGCGAAAGCGUGGGGAGCAAACAGG
rnacentral:rRNA from 1 species